rnacentral:rRNA from 1 species
GGGGAAUAUUGGACAAUGGGGGCAACCCUGAUCCAGCCAUGCCGCGUGUGUGAAGAAGGUCUUAGGAUUGUAAAGCACUUUAAGUUGGGAGGAAGGGCAGUUAACUAAUAUUUGACUGUUUUGACGUUACCGACAGAAUAAGCACCGGCUAACUUCGUGCCAGCAGCCGCGGUAAUACGAAGGGUGCGAGCGUUAAUCGGAAUUACUGGGCGUAAAGCGCGCGUCGGUGGUUCGUUAAGUUAGGAGUGAAAGCCCCGGGCUCAACCUGGGAAUUGCUUCUAAAACUGGCGAGCUAGAGUAUGGUAGAGGGUGGUGGAAUUUCCUGUGUAGCGGUGAAAUGCGUAGAUAUAGGAAGGAACGUCAGUGGCGAAGGCGACCACCUGGACUGAUACUGACACUGAGGUGCGAAAGCGUGGGGAGCAAAC